UCGCAUUACAUUUCGGUGCGUUUCAUCCUCGGUCGUGAUUCGGUGAUUCGUCAGGCCGCGAUCUCGGCAGUCGCAUUCGUGCGCUCGACGGUGGCGCGUCGAGUAGCACGAGGGUGUCCGAUGAUCCGAUCUUCUAUGAAUGGAGGGAAGGGAGCUGUUGUCGGAGGGAUUCGCGUUCGCGAGAUGCGCGAGAAACGCGGACAACGCCUCGUCCGGAUCGGACGUCGCAAUCGGUCACUUUGGUACAUCUGAGCAGCGCGUUUUCAGAGUUCGUGACGAUUAGUCCCUUUAGAUAAUCUUAUCCUCAUUCAUUCCACGUGUUUUCGCCCCUUUUUUCGCGCUCGCGAGUGACGAACCCAUUCAACGCGCUCCUGAAAGAACGAGCGCCUUCUCUCUGCUCGUCGUCCUGUUAUAUUCGUCGUACAUGAUAAUGUGAUGGGCAGUGAUAAUGAGACGCGAUGCGACGUGAUUCGAUUAGGAGAAAUACCGCAGCAUUGACCACGACGUGAUGCGACAAGAGCAGAAUAAAGAGGACUGUUUUGUGUGAUCCUGUGGAGGAUGCUGCGGACGGAAUAAUCUCGCGGAGAAACGCAUAUUUUUUUUAACAAAGAAUUCCGCAGCAUAUUCCAUAACGAGCUUCUUGAAAAAGAAUUAUUAUUUCUAGAUCGACAACCGAUCCUUUCGCGCUCGUUCUCGUAAACGAGAUCGAUUGUCUUCCAAGGAGUGUCUUCCGCACCUUCUGUCGACUUCCCGCGAGCUAUUUCUUGUCGAAUCGAUUCACCAUCAUUGUGCUAUACGUGAAUUCUCAGACUUGAAGAGACGACGAACCUGAGCUCGAAAAUAAAUCGCUUUUAAAUCGAAGAAAUCAUUCGAGGAAGUAAUGCCCUGGGAAUCACGCACACGAACAUUCGGAAGAAUCUUGAAAUUAUUAGUAAAGCGGGAUUUCAGAAAGCACUGAAAAAAUAUUAUU